UUUCACUAUUGUCUUCAAAUAGCAGUGUAGUCACCGCAAACAUAUAUAAACUAAGACAGCACUUCAUGUUCCAUUUCAUCUCCUUUCUGUCUGUCUCUCUUUCUCUCUCACACUCACACACACACACACAUCUCAGGUUACUUGAGUUUAAUGAUGAUUAAUGUUUAUGUAGUGUGUUCACUGCAAACAGACUGAUGUUUUGGAUCUUGAAGAAACACAAGGUCAGACCAUUUUUCCCCUUGACAUUUUUGGGAUUGACAGUCACAGCUGGAGGGGUGCUGGGUGGCAUAACUGAGUGACUGAUGGAAAUAAAGAAUGAAGGGAGAACGUCAUGAAAUGGUCACCAGGACUUUACCUGAGGGGAGAGAAAGAAGCUGGAUACAGCAAAUGAAGACAGACUUCACCUGGAAGUGUGACCAGACAGACUGCCAGAAAUCCAUAUCGACUUCUCACAAACACAUCGGUAAUCCUGCUUCUUGACAGAUGGUUGACCGUGCCACGGCUGCUCUCUCCAUAGGGAUGCUUUUUUUUUUUAGCCAUAAGAUCGCUUUGUCACUGACAUCAGAAGAUGUAUGGCUCACCUCUUAAGAUCGCUGUCACUUUGAAAUCCCAUCCAGAGGAAUUCCGUCCAGUUUUCCCUAUAUUUUCA
ensembl:lncRNA